rnacentral:rRNA from 1 species
UGGCGGCAGGCCUAACACAUGCAAGUCGAGCGGUAGCACAGGGAGCUUGCUCCUGGGUGACGAGCGGCGGACGGGUGAGUAAUGUCUGGGAAACUGCCUGAUGGAGGGGGAUAACUACUGGAAACGGGAGCUAAUACCGCAUAACGUCUACGGACCAAAGAGGGGGACCUUCGGGCCUCAUGCCAUCAGAUGUGCCCAGAUGGGAUUAGCUAGUAGGUGGGGUAAUGGCUCACCUAGGCGACGAUCCCUAGCUGGGCUGAGAGGAUGACCAGCCACACUGGAACUGAGACACGGUCCAGACUCCUACGGGAGGCAGCAGUGGGGAAUAUUGCACAAUGGGCGCAAGCCUGAUGCACCCAUGCCGCGUGUGUGAAGAAGGCCUUCGGGUUGUAAAGCACUUUCAGCGAGGAGGAAGGGUUCAGUGUUAAUAGCACUGUGCAUUGACGUUACUCGCAGAAGAAGCACCGGCUAACUCUGUGCCAGAGGCCGCGGGAAUACGGGAGGGUGCAAGCGUUAAUCGGGAAUUACUGGGCGUAAAGCGCACGCAGGCGGUUUGUUAAGACAGAUAUGAAAACCCCGCGCUUAACGUGGGAACUGCAUUUGAAACUGGCAAGCUAGAGACUUGUAGAGGGGGGUAGAAUUCCAGGGGUAGCGGGGAAAUGCGUAAAGAUCUGGAGGAAUACCGGUGGCGAAGGCGGCCCCCUGGACAAAGACUGACGCUCAGGUGCGAAACGUGGGGAGCAAACAGGAAUAGAUACCCUGGAGUCACCACUGUAAACAAUGUCGACUUGGAGGUUGUGCCCUUGAGGCGUGGCUUCCGGAGCUAACGCGUUAAGUCGACCGCCUGGGGAGUACGGCCGC